rnacentral:rRNA from 1 species
UUGGACGCUGGCGGCAUGCCUUACACAUGCAAGUCGAACGGUAGAGGGGCAACCCUUGAGAGUGGCGAACGGGUGAGUAAUGCAUCGGAACGUGCCCAGUCGUGGGGGAUAACGCAGCGAAAGCUGUGCUAAUACCGCAUGUGAUCUGUGGAUGAAAGCAGGGGACCGCAAGGCCUUGUGCGAUUGGAGCGGCCGAUGUCAGAUUAGCUAGUUGGUAGGGUAAAAGCCUACCAAGGUCGACGAUCUGUAGCUG